rnacentral:rRNA from 1 species
AUGCAGUAGAACGCUGAAGAGAGGAGCUUGCUCUUCUUGGAUGAGUUGCGAACGGGUGAGUAACGCGUAGGUAACCUGCCUUGUAGCGGGGGAUAACUAUUGGAAACGAUAGCUAAUACCGCAUAACAAUGGAUGACACAUGUCAUUUAUUUGAAAGGGGCAAUUGCUCCACUACAAGAUGGACCUGCGUUGUAUUAGCUAGUAGGUGAGGUAACGGCUCACCUAGGCGACGAUACAUAGCCGACCUGAGAGGGUGAUCGGCCACACUGGGACUGAGACACGGCCCAGACUCCUACGGGAGGCAGCAGUAGGGAAUCUUCGGCAAUGGGGGCAACCCUGACCGAGCAACGCCGCGUGAGUGAAGAAGGUUUUCGGAUCGUAAAGCUCUGUUGUAAGUCAAGAACGAGUGUGAGAGUGGAAAGUUCACACUGUGACGGUAGCUUACCAGAAAGGGACGGCUAACUACGUGCCAGCAGCCGCGGUAAUACGUAGGUCCCGAGCGUUGUCCGGAUUUAUUGGGCGUAAAGCGAGCGCAGGCGGUUUGAUAAGUCUGAAGUUAAAGGCUGUGGCUCAACCAUAGUUCGCUUUGGAAACUGUCAAACUUGAGUGCAGAAGGGGAGAGUGGAAUUCCAUGUGUAGCGGUGAAAUGCGUAGAUAUAUGGAGGAACACCGGUGGCGAAAGCGGCUCUCUGGUCUGUAACUGACGCUGAGGCUCGAAAGCGUGGGGAGCGAACAGGAUUAGAUACCCUGGUAGUCCACGCCGUAAACGAUGAGUGCUAGGUGUUGGAUCCUUUCCGGGAUUCAGUGCCGCAGCUAACGCAUUAAGCACUCCGCCUGGGGAGUACGACCGCAAGGUUGAAACUCAAAGGAAUUGACGGGGGCCCGCACAAGCGGUGGAGCAUGUGGUUUAAUUCGAAGCAACGCGAAGAACCUUACCAGGUCUUGACAUCCCGAUGCUAUUUCUAGAGAUAGAAAGUUACUUCGGUACAUCGGUGACAGGUGGUGCAUGGUUGUCGUCAGCUCGUGUCGUGAGAUGUUGGGUUAAGUCCCGCAACGAGCGCAACCCCUAUUGUUAGUUGCCAUCAUUCAGUUGGGCACUCUAGCGAGACUGCCGGUAAUAAACCGGAGGAAGGUGGGGAUGACGUCAAAUCAUCAUGCCCCUUAUGACCUGGGCUACACACGUGCUACAAUGGUUGGUACAACGAGUUGCGAGUCGGUGACGGCAAGCUAAUCUCUUAAAGCCAAUCUCAGUUCGGAUUGUAGGCUGCAACUCGCCUACAUGAAGUCGGAAUCGCUAGUAAUCGCGGAUCAGCACGCCGCGGUGAAUACGUUCCCGGGCCUUGUACACACCGCCCGUCACACCACGAGAGUUUGUAACACCCGAAGUCGGUGAGGUAACCUUUUGGAGCCAGCCGCCUAAGGGGA